UGGUGAGAUUAAAUUCAUCAGAGCUACAGCAAAUGCAUUAAGUGAUCCGCCUGGGGAGUACGUCCGCAAGGAUGAAACUCAAAGGAGUUGACGGGGACCCGCACAAGCGGUGGAGCAUGUUCUUUAAUUCGAUGCAACACGAAGAACCUUACCUGGGUUUGACAUCCGCGGAAUCGCUACGAAAGUAGCGAGUGCUCACUUUGUGAGAACCGCGUGACAGGUACUGCAUGGCUGUCGUCAGUUCGUGUCGUAAGAUGUUGGGUUAAGUCCCGUAACGAACGCAACCCCUGUCUUUAGUUGCCAGCAUUAAGUUGGGGACUCUAGAGAGACUGCCAAGGUGACAACUUGGAGGAAGGUGGGGAUGACGUCAAGUCCAUAUGGUCCUUACAUCCAGGGCGAGAAACGUGCUACAAUGGUUGGUACAAAGGGGAGCAAAAUCGCAAGAUUGAGCAAAUCCUCAAAACCAAUCUCAGUUCGGAUUGGAGUCUGCAACCCGACUCCAUGAAGUUGGAAUCGCUAGUAAUCGCGGAUCAGCAUGCCGCGGUGAAUACGUAUCCGGGUCUUGUACACACCGCCCGUCAAGU
rnacentral:rRNA from 1 species